AACGGUGAAGGGACCAGCUUGCUGGUUCUGGAUGAGUGGCGAACGGGUGAGUAACACGUGAGUAACCUGCCCCCUUCUUCUGGAUAACCGCAUGAAAGUGUGGCUAAUACGGGAUAUUCUGGGUCUGUCGCAUGACGGGUCUGGGAAAGAUGCGCCUUUGGGUGUUUUUGGUGGGGGAUGGGCUCGCGGCCUAUCAGCUUGUUGGUGGGGUGAUGGCCUACCAAGGCGGUGACGGGUAGCCGGCCUGAGAGGGUGGACGGUCACACUGGGACUGAGACACGGCCCAGACUCCUACGGGAGGCAGCAGUGGGGAAUAUUGCACAAUGGGCGCAAGCCUGAUGCAGCGACGCCGCGUGAGGGAUGGAGGCCUUCGGGUUGUGAACCUCUUUCGCCAGUGAAGCANGCCUGUCCCUUUUGUGGGUGGGUUGACGGUAGCUGGAUAAGAAGCGCCGGCUAACUACGUGCCAGCAGCCGCGGUAAUACGUAGGGCGCGAGCGUUGUCCGGAUUAUUGGGCGUAAGAGCUCGUAGGCGGCUGGUCGCGUCUGUCCUGAAUCCUCUGGCUUAACUGGGGGCUUGCGGUGGGUACGGGCCGGCUUGAGUGCGGUAGGGGAGACUGGAACUCCUGGUGUAGCGGUGGAAUGCGCAGAUAUCAGGAAGAACACCGGUGGGGAAGGCGGGUCUCUGGGCCGUUACUGACGCUGAGGAGCGAAAGCGUGGGGAGCGAACAGGAUUAGAUACCCUGGUAGUCCACGCCGUAAACGUUGGGCACUAGGUGUGGGGGGCCUUUUCCGGGUUUUCCGCGCCGUAGCUAACGCAUUAAGUGCCCCGCCUGGGGAGUACGGCCGCAAGGCUAAAACUCAAAGGAAUUGACGGGGGCCCGCACAAGCGGCGGAGCAUGCGGAUUAAUUCGAUGCAACGCGAAGAACCUUACCAAGGCUUGACAUGUGCCGGUCGGCUCCGGAGACGGGGUUUCCUCCUUGUGGGGCCNGUUCACAGGUGGUACAUGGUUGUCGUCAGCUCGUGUCGUGAGAUGUUGGGUUAAGUCCCCGCAACGAGCGCAACCCUUGUCCCGUGUUGCCAGCACGUUGUGGUGGGGACUCGCGGGAGACUGCCGGGGUCAACUCG
rnacentral:rRNA from 1 species